rnacentral:rRNA from 1 species
GAUGAACGCUGACAGAAUGCUUAACACAUGCAAGUCGAUGGGGAAGUGGUGCUUGCACCAUGGUAACCAUGGCGGACGGGUGAGUAACGCGUAAGGAACUUACCUGCGGGACCGGGAUAACAGCAGGAAACUGCUGACAAGACCGGAUAAGGUCAUUAAGCUGCAUAGCUUAGUGAUGAAAGGAGACGCCUGCGGAGAGCCUUGCGUCCUAUUAACUAGUUGGAGGGGUAACGGCCCACCAAGGCGAAGAUAGGUAGCCGGCCUGAGAGGGUGGACGGCCACAAGGGGACUGAGAUACGGCCCUUACUCCUACGGGAGGCAGCAGUGGGGAAUAUUGGACAAUGGGGGCAACCCUGAUCCAGCAAUUCUGUGUGCACGAAGACGGUUUUCGGAUUGUAAAGUGCUUUCAGCAGGGAAGAAGGAAGUGACGGUACCUGCAGAAGAAGCGACGGCUAAAUACGUG